rnacentral:rRNA from 1 species
AUUGAACGCUGGCGGCAUGCCUUACACAUGCAAGUCGAACGGCAGCGGGGGAGAAGCUUGCUUUUCCUGCCGGCGAGUGGCGAACGGGUGAGUAAUACAUCGGAACGUGCCCUGUAGUGGGGGAUAACUAGUCGAAAGAUUAGCUAAUACCGCAUACGACCUGAGGGUGAAAGUGGGGGACCGCAAGGCCUCAUGCUAUAGGAGCGGCCGAUGUCUGAUUAGCUAGUUGGUGGGGUAAAGGCCUACCAAGGCGACGAUCAGUAGCUGGUCUGGGAGGGCGAUCAGCGAAACUGGGACUGAGACACGGCCCAGACUCCUACGGGAGGCAGCAGUGGGGAAUUUUGGACAAUGGGCGAAAGCCUGAUCCAGCAAUGCCGCGUGUGUGAAGAAGGCCUUCGGGUUGUAAAGCACUUUUGUCCGGAAAGAAAUGGCUCUGGUUAAUACCUGGGGUCGAUGACGGUACCGGAAGAAUAAGGACCGGCUAACUACGUGCCAGCCGCCGCGGUAA